UGGGGAAUCUUGGACAAUGGGCGCAAGCCUGAUCCAGCCAUGCCGCGUGAGUGAUGAAGGCCCUAGGGUUGUAAAACUCUUUCGUGGGGGACGAUAAUGACGGUACCCCAAGAAGAAGCUCCGGCUAACUUCGUGCCAGCAGCCGCGGUAAUACGAAGGGGGCUAGCGUUGUUCGGAUUUACUGGGCGUAAAGCGCGUGUAGGCGGCAAUUCAAGUCAUCUGUGAAAUCUCCGGGCUUAACUCGGAACGGUCAGAUGAUACUGCUUUGCUAGAGUGCAGAAGGGGCAAUCGGAAUUCUUGGUGUAGCGGUGAAAUGCGUAGAUAUCAAGAGGAACACCUGAGGUGAAGACGGGUUGCUGGGCUGACACUGACGCUGAGGCGCGAAAGCCAGGGGAGCAAACGGGGAUUAGAUACCCGCGUAGUCCCUGAGCGGGCUGGCAAGGCGCAU
rnacentral:rRNA from 1 species